GACGCUGGCGGCAUGCCUAAUACAUGCAAGUCGAACGAGAUCUUCGGAUCUAGUGGCGCACGGGUGCGUAACGCGUGGGAAUCUGCCCUUGGGUUCGGAAUAACAGUUGGAAACGACUGCUAAUACCGGAUGAUGACGAAAGUCCAAAGAUUUAUCGCCCAAGGAUGAGCCCGCGUAGGAUUAGCUAGUUGGUGGGGUAAAGGCCUACCAAGGCGACGAUCCUUAGCUGGUCUGAGAGGAUGAUCAGCCACACUGGGACUGAGACACGGCCCAGACUCCUACGGGAGGCAGCAGUAGGGAAUAUUGGACAAUGGGGGCAACCCUGAUCCAGCAAUGCCGCGUGAGUGAUGAAGGCCUUAGGGUUGUAAAGCUCUUUUACCCGGGAUGAUAAUGACAGUACCGGGAGAAUAAGCCCCGGCUAACUCCGUGCCAGCAGCCGCGGUAAUACGGAGGGGGCUAGCCGUUGUUCGGAAUUACUGGGCGUAAAGCGCACGUAGGCGGCGAUUUAAGUCAGAGGUGAAGCCCGGGCUNACCCGGACUGCUUGAACUGGAUUGUUGAUCCGGAA
rnacentral:rRNA from 1 species